rnacentral:rRNA from 1 species
CCCUUAGACGUUCUGGGCCGCACGCGCGCUACACUGACCAGUGCAACAAGCAUCCGUCCUUGGCCGACAGGCCCGGGCAAUCUUUGAACGCUGGUCGUGAUGGGGAUAGACUUUUGCCAUUUUUGGUCUUCAACGAGGAAUUCCUAGUAAACGCAAGUCAUCAACUUGCAUUGAUUACGUCCCUGCCCUUUGUACACACCGCCCGUCGCACCUACCGAUUGAAUGGUCCGGUGAAGCCUCCGGAUUGGCGCGCACCUCGGUGCCGCCGAGAAGUUGGCUAAACCUUACCAUUUAGAGGAAGGUGAAGUCGUAACA